ensembl:lncRNA
AGGCGGGACCGCUGCUGAGGAGCGCCUGGUCGCGCGCUCCCGUUUCUCGCCUUUCCGCUCGACCUCUCCAGGUUGUCGAUGGGCAGCAAACGGAAAUGGGCGAAUAUAAUUAUUUUUGGACGUAAAAGUUAGCACACGAGCAGCGUGACAUCCUGUGCGUGGUGUACCUCCAGAGCCACACCGAUCUACCUCUGCACACACUGCAUCUGCGUCAGCCUUGAGAGCAUGCAGUCCUUUAGACACUGGCAUUUACCUCACAGUCUGCGUGGCAGCUCCGCGUCGCACUGGCAUUGAUACUGCUGGGAACUGCUGCAAGCACUAAUAAAUCAGGAGCACGUGAAUUGCCAGGGAGGCAGCAGCAGCAAGAACUGCCUUGAGAAACAGCAGAAUGAAAGAGAUGCAAGGUGCCCAGAUGAGGCUGAAAUGGAUCACUCGAUGACAAAGCUGAAGUGCGAGCAGUCGGAGAAAUGAAUCAAAGGAUGGUAUUGCUUAUUCUGUUGGAUUUUCCUGUAUUCAUGCAGGAGGCAGGGACAUAUGCUUAGGAUUAAAGCUAAUGUGCCUUUCAAACAAAAAAUCUUUCUCUGGGGCUUAUGCUUCCUGUUCUCAGACCUCUUGAAUUUACCACUGAAGUCAUUAGCAAUUAUACAGGAGAAUAUUCCACUAAAUAUCCCUCCAGGUCUCUCUGACUGGACCUAACAAAUGUGGAUGCAGCGUUUCCCCAAAUGACAGCUUGAUUCCACUUCACAUCUCUAGCUGGCUGAGCUCUGCCGCACAGUGUUACAAUAGAGCUCCUUUAUUCCCUUGUGUAAAGUGUUUGUAAAUUUAAAGGGAAAAAAAAGAAAGGCUCAGAGUGACAUAGGUACUGAAUAUCAGAGCAACUACUGACAUGCUGCAGAACAAGCAUUAAUUCAUAUUUGGCAGGCCUAUAGAUAACUGAAAAUAAUUUUAAUUUUCAGGAAUGCUCCUUGCCAAUUUCUGUUUCCUUACUUCACUACUGAGAACAGUAAAUCAGCUCACAGUUACCACUGUCCUUCUCCACCGUGUACGCUGCCACUUCAACUACAGGUUUCCACUACCAUUGAACAUACAUCAAAGAAACAGUCAGGAGCAUUAUAAAAAAGAGUAUAUACAUUUCAAAAAUUUCUUUUCCAUUCUCUCUUUUAAUUUUAAUAUUCUGCAAAAACUCCUAAGGAAUACUGGACUGUAAAAUAGCUUGAAGAUCUAUCAUGAUCAUUUGUGAUAUUUUUAUCUUUGCUAUUGUUUUUGUGUCAUAUUAAGAAUCAAAUUUUCAAGGCUUGCCAAAAGAAAUGUGUAGGUUUCUGCCUGGACUUGGAAAAAUACUUUGGCAGGUAAAUAUGGCAAGUAAAUAUGCUGAAACAGGGCACGCCUACCUCUCACUGGUAUUUCUGGAAGAGGCAUUUACCCUGAACAUGAUUUUAGAAAGAAGCUUGACCCUUAGUGUGUUUGGGAAUCUACGUGCCUUGAACAAACUGCUCUCAUUUUACUGAAGGUGAAUAAUUCCCGAGGUUUGCUUAGAAAUUUAAGACAUACCACAGUAGAAGUAUUGGAGAACAU